UUAGAAGGACCAAACCUCUAAACUCACUCUUGUCCAUUCUUGAUUUACUUCAUAUAACUCUUUGGUGUGUGUGCUUUUGUGCUAGGGGAUCCUAUAUGAGCCAAGUUGAAGAACCAUUGCCAUGUUCAUCCAAAGUGAAAGAUACAAGAGACAUUGGGGAUCUCCUAAGAGCUUGUUUGAUUAUGUUGAUUGCUUGAGCUUACACUUAUUUUGCUUGCAUAUUCCAAAGGAUGGGAGCUACUUG
rnacentral:lncRNA from 1 species